GGUGGCUCACGCCUGUAAUCCCAGCACUUUGGGAGGCUCAGGCGGGCAGAUCACAUGAGGCCAGGAGUUCGACACCAGCCUGGCCAACAUGACAAAAACCCAUCUCUGUAAAAAAUACAAAAAUGAGCCAGGCAUGGUGGUGCAUGUCUGUAAUCCCAGCCACUCGGGAAGCUGAGGCACAAGAAUCGCUUGAACCCGGGAGGCAGAGGUUGCAGUGAGCCAAGAUCGUGCCACUGCACUCUAGCCUGGGUGACAGAGAGAAUCUGUCUCAAAAAAAAAAAAAAAAAAACUUUGUGCAACGCCUGGUGCCAAAAUGUUAAACGGCAAGUAAAUCCAAAUGUCUUUUUAAAAUUCAAAUGUGGCAGAGUUCAUAGUGUCUGUGGUUAUCACUUAUUUGC
rnacentral:lncRNA from 1 species